UACGUAGGGAGCAAGCGUUGUCCGGAAUCAUUGGGCGUAGAGCGCGCGUAGGCGGACCUGCAAGUCGGGUGUGAAAGCCCUCGGCUCAACCGAGGAAGUGCGCCCCGAAACUGCAGAGCUCGAGUGCCAGAGAGGGUGGCGGAAUUCCCCAAGUAGAGGUGAAAUUCGUAGAUAUGGGGAGGAACACCAGUGGCGAAGGCGGCCACCUGGAUGGUGACUGACGCUGAGACGCGAAAGCGUGGGGAGCAAACAGG
rnacentral:rRNA from 1 species